UGAAAGUGGGGUUUUGGGGAAGGGGGAUUUGCCCCGUUAUUUUGGCUGCAAGCUCCACCUGAAUGGGUUCACGUUAGAACACUACCUGGUGGCAGUGAUCACUCAAGCUCCAGUGAGAAAAUUAUUCAUCCCAUAGCCAAGGCACAGGUGUCUCGGCAAGUGCUCGUCCAGGAGCCGAAGGUGCUUCACUCUGCCCAGAACUUUUGUUUCACUUUUAACAGGCUGUUGCUGAUGGCCUUGAGCCAGUAGUUUAUAGACCAGUCCUACAGCACGGGACCCGAGGGUGGUCUUCUGUACCAGCACUCAGGCUUCGGUGGAACAACAAACUUGCGAACAGAGAAGAAAAGAGUCCCAGAAAAUGGGCUUAAAAUUACCGAAUACCCUUCAUAUAGCAAAUUAUGCACUUCCUCUUCAUGGCGAUGGCAGCAAAAUCAGCACAGUGUUUCCUCUGUCCUGGGACCCUGCACCACGCUUGUCUGAAUGCUCCCACCUCAAACUGGCUGCCCCAGCAUUUUAUGGAAGCUAUCCUCAUUCUGACUGCAGUCUCUACAGUUUUUCAUCUUUGCUCACAUCUGCACUUCCUGCUCCCAGCUGCAACAGAGAUCAGAAAUGAUAGAACACCACGAAAGAAAGGCCAUCCUGGUAGCAUUUCCAGCUUGACUGCAUACAACAAAUACCAGGAAUCUUGGAAGAGAAUGUAUUUGCAGAUGCCCAGCCCCGUGUUCAGAUGGAUAUCUGAACACUUAGGUGCUUAACCACCAGAACUCCUGAUAGUAGCAGUAAGCAAUCUUCUGAGUUUUCUAAAUCGAUAACGUUGUUUUAUAUCAUUAAAGCUGUGAAAAUUUAAUGCCAACAGUAGUUGCGUCACUUGGGUAGGUACCUGCCUUGUGGAUACAUUCAGGCAGUGAGAAGUGAAGCAUUUGUUCAGUUGUACUUUAUGGUUUACAGUUCUACAGGUGCAAAGCAAGAAGCCAGUCAGAAACCAAAGGGACAAUAUAGACUUGUUGCAUAGUUUUGUCCUUUCAAGAAACCAUGUAAUAAAUAGGUUGCCCAGAGAGCUGGUGGACACCCCAUCCCUGGAAACACUCAAGUUCAGGCUGGAGGGGCUCUGAGCAUC